rnacentral:misc_RNA from 1 species
AUGUACUCUAAAUUUUUCUUUAUAUUAAUUUUUAUUAUAUUUUAUAAUUUUAAUUUAUAUUAUAUGUACCCCACUUUGAAAAUUUUAUGGAUCUGCUACUGUUGGACAGGCAGCUUGGAAAAAUAAAUACAAAAUAAAAAAGAAAUGGAAAAACUAAAAGCAAUGACAAAUUGGGCCUGAAUGCCCACUUGACAUCUGCCUUACUUAUUAUGUUACCGCCAAAUAUGG